CGGAAGAAGCGAGAGUGACGGUACGUGCAGAAGAAGCGCCGGCUAACUACGUGCCAGCAGCCGCGGUAAUACGUAGGGCGCAAGCGUGUCCGGAAUUAUUGGGCGUAAAGAGCUCGUAGGCGGUUUGUCGCGUCUGCUGUGAAAGCCCGGGGCUUAACCCCGGGUGUGCAGUGGGUACGGGCAGACUUGAGUGCAGUAGGGGAGACUGGAAUUCCUGGUGUAGCGGUGAAAUGCGCAGAUAUCAGGAAGAACACCGAUGGCGAAGGCAGGUCUCUGGGCUGUUACUGACGCUGAGGAGCGAAAGCAUGGGGAGCGAACAGGAUUAGAUACCCUGGUAGUCCAUGCCGUAAACGUUGGGCACUAGGUGUGGGGGACAUUCCACGUUUUCCGCGCCGUAGCUAACGCAUUAAGUGCCCCGCCUGGGGAGUACGGCCGCAAGGCUAAAACUCAAAGGAAUUGACGGGGGCCCGCACAAGCGGCGGAGCAUGCGGAUUAAUUCGAUGCAACGCGAAGAACCUUACCAAGGCUUGACAUACACCGGACCGGUUCAGAGAUGUUCCUUCCCCCUUGUGGGGCUGGUGUACAGGUGGUGCAUGGUUGUCGUCAGCUCGUGUCGUGAGAUGUUGGGUUAAGUCCCGCAACGAGCGCAACCCUCGUUCUAUGUUGCCAGCACGUGAUGGUGGGGACUCAUAGGAGACUGCCGGGGUCAACUCGGAGGAAGGUGGGGAUGACGUCAAAUCAUCAUGCCCCUUAUGUCUUGGGCUUCACGCAUGCUACAAUGGCCGGUACAAUGGGUUGCGAUACCGUGAGGUGGAGCUAAUCCCAAAAAGCCGGUCUCAGUUCGGAUCGUGGUCUGCAACUCGACCACGUGAAGUCGGAGUCGCUAGUAAUCGCAGAUCAGCAACGCUGCGGUGAAUACGUUCCCGGGCCUUGUACACACCGCCCGUCAAGUCACGAAAGUUGGUAACACCCGAAGCCGGUGGCCUAACCCUUGUGGGAGGGAGCC
rnacentral:rRNA from 1 species